rnacentral:rRNA from 1 species
AGUGAACGCUGGCGGUAGGCCUAACACAUGCAAGUCGAACGGCAGCACAGUAAGAGCUUGCUCUUACGGUGGGGGAGUGCCGGCCGGUUGAGGAUACAAUGGGAACUUCCUUUUUGGUGGGGGUAAAGGAAGGAAAAUUUCGCUAAUAACCCCUUCCAACUUCGGGGUAAAGCCAGGGGUUUUCCGACCCUUGCCGGUUGGAUUAGCCCGAUGUCGGAUUAGCUAGUUGGCGGGUUAAAGGCCCACCAAGGCGACGAUCCGUAGCUGGUCUGAGAGGAUGAUCAGCCACACUGGAACUGAGACACGGUCCAGACUCCUACGGGAGGCAGCAGUGGGGAAUAUUGGACAAUGGGCGCAAGCCUGAUCCAGCCAUACCGCGUGGGUGAAGAAGGCCUUCGGGUUGUAAAGCCCUUUUGUUGGGAAAGAAAAGCAGCAGGUUAAUACCCCGCUGUUCUGACGGUACCCAAAGAAUAAGCACCGGCUAACUUCGUG